rnacentral:lncRNA from 1 species
UGGCUGUGGCCAAGUGAUUGUUGCUGAACUUACCUGUGUCGAAAGGUCAGCCUUCCAGUGCUAAGGCUGGGCACAGGCGCUAAGGCAAAUUGGAUUGUGAAUGGAGGCCCUGAGGCAUGUUCUGCACUUUGCAACUGGUCUGGCAGGCUCCACUCCUCCACCUUCUAAGUCUGCCACAGGCAUGGGAAACACCUGGGCAGCGACAAAGGUGGUUAAGGCAGCUUCGCCAAGAAGAGGAGCCAAGAUGGUUAACUAGACGUAGCCAGGAGGAACAUCUCCCACCAAGAGACUGAGCUGUCAGGAAGACUGGUACAUUCUGAGCAGAUCUUUGGAGGGAAGGCAUUGAGAGUGGAUGGAAGGAUGAUGCAGACACUGGGCUGAAGAGGAAGGAAGCUGGGAACCCUGUACAGGACUACCGAGCACCAGGACUUGUUUCUGGCCCCCUGCAACUCCUGGGAAAGGGAGAACUCCUCCAGUGCUCUCAAGUGUUUUACAGACCACUAAUUAUUAAAUGUGGAAGCUCUGGAGCAGAGAACCUUUCAACUGAAAUGAUGACAAACGAUGCUGGCUGAGGAGAGUCAGACCUGAAAAGUUAGGAAUCCCUAAAAUGACGUCAACCUAUAAUUCCUAUUACAGAGCUCUGAUUUCUACUGAUCGUUUUAGGAACCAUAUCUACUAUGUGAGAAAAGCUGCUGGUGGGCCUAAUUUAGAUGAAAAGCAGAAAGGCCUUAAAAAAGAAAUGGGAAAGGAAUAUACAGAAGCAAGAAGAUGAUUGAAAAAAGAUGGCAAUUCAGGUACUUGUUGAACACCAGUUCUGAGCUGCAGAGCAGGAGGCACAAGACGUAAACAAAAAAGUCUCUGUUACGGUCCUAAAGAAGCCAAUCAUCUAGAGAAAUGUAUGCACAGCAGGUCCAGCAGAAUGGGCUUUGCGCUGAUGAGGGAAGCAAGAGGAGAGCAUGGCCUGGGAAAGGAGAUGAUCAGGCUCACUUCCCAUUUCUCUGUGGAAGAACCGUGGCAAACACAGAGUCAACUCACAACGUUCAUUGGAAUUUUUCCCACUUGACUCCUUCGCAAGUUGGAAUAAGGAGUUUGGAAAGGGAGGAUUUCUUCAUAUAAAAAUGGUCUGGGUAUAUCCACGCAAAACUAAAGGGAGUGGAAGAGACCCUAGGUCUACACAUUUGAUGGGAUAGAUCCUUCGGGCUCAGCCUCACCUGCAGGUACUGAAGGAAGCCUUAGUCUGCUAUACAGAGCACUCUGCACCAUGGGGAGAAGAUCAAUAUGCUAAACUUGGGUACUGGGCCUAAAUCUUACGAAGUGACCUCAAACCUAGGAAGGGUAGUUUCAUCAGAAAAGAUCCUACAACCUUCUAUCUGAAGAGCAUGAAUAGCUGCUGCUUUUUUGGAGUUGGGGCCUUUCGUUCACCAUGAAGAUACUGCAUUGUGGCACAGUCCUUGAAGAGACAAGUAGAGACAGGGUUUCACCGUGGUGACAGGCUGGUCUCGAACUCCUGACCUCAAGUGAUCCGUCUGCCUCAGCAUCCCAAAGUGCUGGGAUUACACUAGGAGAAAGUACUAUUUAUUCUACAGGGAUAAAGAGGAGGGAAAAGGAAGCACAUUCAAAAAGAGAAGAGGCACAUUGAAGAAUCAGAAGAUGUUUUCCCCCUGUGUUUUUGAUGGAAGGAAGAAAGCAGGAUUUGCCAGGAUGCAUUCUGCAUCCAAGAACAUGAACGGAAAUGAGCCACAGAAAAUCUGGAGUGAUGGCAGCUGUUGUGAGAGGUGGCAAUGAAAUGGAUUUCUCAGACACAGAGAUGUGGUCUCCCACCAGGUCCCAUUUCAGUGUAUGGUUUCUUGGAUUUCUCUGCCAGCUUCAAACAGUGCUUCUGAUAAAGUGAUUUAUGAAGUAAUGGGAAAUGUAUGUUGACUCAUGGAGUAACAAUGAGGAAAUAGGCAUUGGCACCAGGACUCUGUUGACAUCAGGACUUCAGUGAGGGGGAAAUUCUGCAGAGAUGUGCAUAAACUCAUCGCAGCUGCUCUACCAUCUGACAACCUGAUGGUCAUGGGGGACCUCAAUGCACGUGUUGGUGGUAGUGCCAAAAUGUGGAAGAAAAUUAUUGGACCACAGAGGAUUAGUCUCUUCCUGCAUGGUGAACAGACCGAGCAAUAACUUGUAAUCACAGACAACAGCGUCAAUCAUAUAAGUUAGGAGAAAAAUAUCAUGGAUAUGCCACAAAUCAAAAACAGUGACAUCACACCCAUUCUGCCAUUGUUUCACAGCAGAAUGCCAACAAGCUGACAAUCUGAAUGGGUCUGAGAUCGUUACCCAAUAUGCUUCAAAUCAGGAGAACAUACGGCAACACUCAUUGACUUACAUAUUCUGGGUAAGACACAGAGCAAAGAACUGCAACAGAGGUUAAAGUUUCAGAAAGAGAAGAAGCAGCCUUCACUAUAUCAGACAGAUGAAUCCAGCUCCAAUCAAUAAUUGAGUUUUGGAUUGGAGGAAAGAAUAUUUGGACAUUAAAGAAAAUAAGCAGAGAGGGCCUAAUCUCUUCAAUUCUCAAGAUCAUGCUUAACAUGACCACAUUAAUUACAGCAGAGUGAGACAGGCACAGAAGAGGAGGGACUUGGAACCUGACCUAAAUACAGAAGUGUCAAGCCUAGAAGGAAGUAAAAUUUGGAAGAAAGUACAUGGCAUAUGAAAGAAAAAUAACAACCCAACAACAUCUGACAUUAUGGAAUACUUAAAUAAAAAUAAAAUUUUAGAUUC